rnacentral:rRNA from 1 species
AAACCAAAGCUGGCGACCGGCGCACGGGUGAGUAACGCGUAUCCAACCUGCCUCAUACUCGGGGAUAGCCUUUCGAAAGAAAGAUUAAUAUCCGAUAGCAUAUAUUUCCCGCAUGGGUUUUAUAUUAAAGAAAUUCGGUAUGAGAUGGGGAUGCGUUCCAUUAGUUUGUUGGGGGGUAACGGCCCACCAAGACUACGAUGGAUAGGGGUUCUGAGAGGAAGGUCCCCCACAUUGGAACUGAGACACGGUCCAA